rfam:Ophiophagus hannah scaffold3801.1, whole genome shotgun sequence.
GCCCCACUUGCCCAGCGUUCAGACUACCUGUUCAGAAAACUACAAAAGUAUACAGUAGUUUGCACAUUGAUUAGAUUGGGCU